GAUGAAGAACGCAGCGAAAUGCGAUACGUAAUGUGAAUUGCAAAUUCAGUGAAUCAUCGAGUCUUUGAACGCACAUUGCGCCCCCUGGUAUUCCGGGGGGCAUGCCUGUCCGAGCGUCAUUGCUGCCCUCAAGCACGGCUUGUGUGUCGGGCCCCGUCCUCCGAUCCCGGGGGACGGGCCCGAAAGGCAGCGGCGGCACCGCGUCCGGUCCUCGAGCGUAUGGGGCUUUGUCACCCGCUCUGUAGGCCCGGCCGGCGCUUGCCGAUCAACCCAAAUUUUUUAUCCAGGUUGACCUCGGAUCAGGUAGGGAUACCCGCUGAACUUAAGCAUAUCAAUAAGCGGAGGA
rnacentral:misc_RNA from 1 species